rnacentral:rRNA from 1 species
UACGUAGGGCGCAAGCGUUGUCCGGAAUUAUUGGGCGUAAAGAGCUCGUAGGCGGUUUGUCGCGUCUGCUGUGAAAACCUGAGGCUCAACCUCGGGCUUGCAGUGGGUACGGGCAGACUAGAGUGCGGUAGGGGUGACUGGAAUUCCUGGUGUAGCGGUGGAAUGCGCAGAUAUCAGGAGGAAUACCGGUGGCGAAGGCGGCAUCCUGGACCGGCAUUGACGCUGAGGAGCGAAAGCCAGGGGAGCAAACGGG